UUACCUUCCGGAGACAAAUCUGACGCUUCCUAUGUUAAGAAAUCCGACGGAAGUUCCACGAGAAAAAAUUAGAGAAACGUUAAAGCUCUUGAUGAUGAAUAUAUUUGAAGAAGGUAAAAGUUCUUUAAUGAAGACGAUGGUGCGUGAAAUCCAAAGAAAUUCAGGGAGGAAUAAGAGAGAAGAUGGUGUAAAACUGAGAGAAGAAGGUAGCAGAAGAAGGUGAAGGUGGAGCAAAAGAAAGAAAGAACGAGGUUCAGAGAAGGGAGUGAGAGAUGAAGAUUGCAGAGAAUUUCUCAGAGAGAAAGAUUGGAGAAUUUUCUGGUUUUCAGUGGCUUUUCCCGAAUGAGAGUGAAGAAG